rnacentral:rRNA from 1 species
UACGUAGGGUGCAAGCGUUGUCCGGAAUUAUUGGGCGGAAAGAGCUCGUAGGCGGUCUGUUGCGUCAGGAGUGAAAACUCGGGGCUUAACCCCGAGCCUGCUUCUGAUACGGGCAGACUAGAGGUAUGCAGGGGAGAACGGAAUUCCUGGUGUAGCGGUGAAAUGCGCAGAUAUCAGGAGGAACACCGGUGGCGAAGGCGGGUCUCUGGGCCGAUACCGACGCUGAGGAGCGAAAGCGUGGGGAGCGAACAGG